AUUGAACGCUGGCGGCAGGCUUAAUACAUGCAAGUCGAACGGUAACGGCAGGAAGCUUGCUUCCUGGCUGACGAGUGGCGGACGGGUGAGUAAUACCUGGGGAGCUGCCUGAAUGAGGGGGACAACACCUGGAAACGGGUGCUAAUACCGCGUAAGCCCUGAGGGGGAAAGGCCGGGCAACCGGUCGCAUUCAGAUGCGCCCAGGUGGGAUUAGCUAGUUGGUGGGGUAACGGCCCACCAAGGCGACGAUAGUUACCCGGCCUAAGAGGGUGAUCGGGCACAUUGGGACUGAGAUACGGCCCAGACUCC
rnacentral:rRNA from 1 species